GACGAACGCUGGCGGCGUGCUUAACACAUGCAAGUCGAACGGAAAGGCCCUGCUUUUGUGGGGUGCUCGAGUGGCGAACGGGUGAGUAACACGUGAGUAACCUGCCCUUGACUUUGGGAUAACUUCAGGAAACUGGGGCUAAUACCGGAUAGGAGCUCCUGCUGCAUGGUGGGGGUUGGAAAGUUUCGGCGGUUGGGGAUGGACUCGCGGCUUAUCAGCUUGUUGGUGGGGUAGUGGCUUACCAAGGCUUUGACGGGUAGCCGGCCUGAGAGGGUGACCGGGCACAUUGGGCCUGAGGUAGGGCCCAGACGGCAACGGGAGGCAGCAGGGGGAAACAUUGCACAAUGGGCGGAAGCCUGAUGCAGCAACGCCGCGUGCGGGAUGACGGCCUUCGGGUUGGAAACCGCUUUCGGCUGAGACGAAGCGGGAGUGACGGUAAUGGGUAAAGAAGCACCGGCUAACUACGUG
rnacentral:rRNA from 1 species